rnacentral:rRNA from 1 species
UACGUAGGGUGCGAGCGUUGUCCGGAAUUACUGGGUGUAAAGGGUGCGUAGGCGGGCAUGUGCGUCGGAGGUUAAAUACAACGGCUUAACCGUUGAACUGCCUUCGAAACGGCAUGUCUUGAAUGUGGGAGAGGAUGGUAGAAUUCCAGGUGUAGCGGUGAAAUGCGUAGAGAUCUGGAGGAAUACCGAUGGCGAAGGCAGCCAUCUGGCCUAAUACUGACACUGAGGUGCGAAAGCGUGGGGAGCAAACAGG